UGGGGAAUUUUGGACAAUGGGCGAAAGCCUGAUCCAGCAAUGCCGCGUGUGUGAAGAAGGCCUUCGGGUUGUAAAGCACUUUUGUCCGGAAAGAAAUCCUUGGCUCUAAUACAGUCGGGGGAUGACGGUACCGGAAGAAUAAGCACCGGCUAACUACGUGCCAGCAGCCGCGGUAAUACGUAGGGUGCAAGCGUUAAUCGGAAUUACUGGGCGUAAAGCGUGCGCAGGCGGUUUGCUAAGACCGAUGUGAAAUCCCCGGGCUCAACCUGGGAACUGCAUUGGUGACUGGCAGGCUAGAGUAUGGCAGAGGGGGGUAGAAUCCCACGUGUAGCAGUGAAAUGCGUAGAGAUGUGGAGGAAUACCGAUGGCGAAGGCAGCCCCCUGGGCCAAUACUGACGCUCAUGCACGAAAGCGUGGGGAGCAAAACAGGAUUAGAUACCCUGGUAGUCCACGCCCUAAAACGAUGUCAACUAGUUGUUGGGGAUUCAUUUCCUUAGUAACGUAGCUAACGCGUGAAGUUGACCGCCUGGGGAGUACGGUCGCAAGAUUAAAACUUAAAGGAAUUGACGGGGUCAUAGCUGUUUCCU
rnacentral:rRNA from 1 species